GAUGAACGCUGGCGGCGUGCCUAAUACAUGCAAGUCGAGCGAACGGACGAGAAGCUUGCUUCUCUGAUGUUAGCGGCGGACGGGUGAGUAACACGUGGAUAACCUACCUAUAAGACUGGGAUAACCUCGGGAAACCGGAGCUAAUACCGGAUAAUAUUUUGAACCGCAUGGUUCAAAAGUGAAAGACGGUCUUGCUGUCACUUAUAGAUGGAUCCGCGCUGCAUUAGCCAGUUGGUAAGGUAACGGCUUACCAAGGCAACGAUGCAUAGCCGACCUGAGAGGGUGAUCGGCCACACUGGAACUGAGACACGGUCCAGACUCCUACGGGAGGCAGCAGUAGGGAAUCUUCCGCAAUGGGCGAAAGCCUGACGGAGCAACGCCGCGUGAGUGAUGAAGGUCUUCGGAUCGUAAAACUCUGUUAUUAGGGAAGAACAUAUGUGUAAGUAACUGUGCACAUCUUGACGGUACCUAAUCAGAAAGCCACGGCUAACUACGUG
rnacentral:rRNA from 1 species